GAUGAAGAACGUAGCGAAAUGCGAUAAGUAAUGCGAAUUGCAGAAUUCCAGUGAGUCAUCGAAUCUUUGAACGCACAUUGCGCCCUUUGGUAUUCCGAAGGGCAUGCCUGUUCGAGCGUCAUUAUCACCCCUCAAGCCCCCCGGCUUGGUGUUGGACGGUUUGGCGGAGGCCCUCCGGGGCCCUUGCCCCUCCCAAAGACAAUGACGGCUGCCUCGUUGGACCCCCGGUACACUGAGUUCUUUACGGGACACGUACUGGAGUAAGGGUGCACGGGGCACGGUCUGCCUCCCCUCAGGGAGAAUCUUUUUUUACAAGGUUGACCUCGGAUCAGGUAGGGAUACCCGCUGAACUUAAGCAUAUCAAUAAGCGGAGGA
rnacentral:misc_RNA from 1 species